AACGAACGCUGGCGGCAGGCCUAACACAUGCAAGUCGAGCGCGCCUUCGGGUGAGCGGCGGACGGGUUAGUAACGCGUGGGAACGUGCCCUUUUCUACGGAAUAGCCUCUGGAAACGGAGAGUAAUACCGUAUACGCCCUUUGGGGGAAAGAUUUAUCGGAGAAGGAUCGGCCCGCGUUAGAUUAGGUAGUUGGUGGGGUAACGGCCUACCAAGCCUACGAUCUAUAGCUGGUUUUAGAGGAUGAUCAGCAACACUGGGACUGAGACACGGCCCAGACUCCUACGAGAGGCAGCAGUGGGGAAUCUUAGACAAUGGGGGCAACCCUGAUCUAGCCAUGCCGCGUGAGUGAUGAAGGCCUUAGGGUCGUAAAGCUCUUUCGCCUGUGAUGAUAAUGACAGUAGCAGGUAAAGAAACCCCGGCUAACUCCGUG
rnacentral:rRNA from 1 species